UCGAUGUCAUACACAUAGACCAUUAUGGCUUGGUAGACAUGGGUAGAGCCAACAAACACGUACUGGUAAUUAAAUACGUAUUUAGAAAGUUUGUAAGACUUUUUUCUGCAAAAACAAAAAAAGUCUAGAGAAGCAAUAGUAGCAAUAAAUAACUAUUUCAGGUCAUAUAGUACUCCAAGAUGAGUGAUCUCAGACUGUAGGACAUGCUUCAUAUAAUUUCAUGACUUCUUAGAAGAAAAUAAAGUGAAACACAUUAAGGUAGCCAAUGGAUAGCUAAUGGGCAAGUCGAAAGAGUAAAUAGAAGCUAAAUUGAUUGUCCAGACAAAGGAUUGUUCUGGGAUACAGUUUUAAAGACAGUUGAACAAUUAGUCAGCACCCAAGCUAAGUUUUAUUCGGAGUGUCUCAAAAGGGAAAAGUUUUAGAUAGCUUAAAAAUGAUAUUAGAGAUAAAUAAAAAUAGGGAAAGUAGAAAUUUAGAUUUUCGAUUCUCAAGUAGGCGUAUCCAAAAAGGUAAUUCCAAAAUUCAAAGUCCCUUACAGAGUGCCAAAUGUACUUCGUAAUGACAGGUAUUUCUUGGCCGAUGUUGAAUACCCCCAUGUACACCCCCAACUGUCGAAAACAAGGCUAAGCCUAUACAAGUCUUUGCAAUAGAGAUCACUAUUACUGCGACCGCCGAACAAAAAAUACCUAAAAAGUGCCGUCUACAAAAUGAAGCUUCUGCAAGUCAGAUAACCAUUUAAAUCAGAAUUGUACAUUUUUCGCAAAUAUGUCGGUAGAAGCUCCGUUCACUUUUGCUAAUACAUUUGUAUGAAGACUCUUAACAUACUUCUCCGUUCUCUCAGCCGGGAAAUCAAUUGAAAUCGCCUAUUAACAAUCAGGUAGCGCAUCACCAUUUUAUGAAUAUACUCAGAACUUCCUCAAUUUUGCUUUAAUUGACUUCAAAUUUUGACUCAACAUUCUUCAGAUAAAAUGCAUUUAAUUUAACAAAAAAAUAUAAAAAACAAAUAAAAACAAAAUAAAAUAAAUCAACUUUAAUACCUUGGUAGUGCCAACGAUACAUCCUUGCGUGUAUGCCACACUGCUUUAUUUUCGGUUCGAUAAAUUUACUAUGUCGGCAGAAAUCACUAAUAUGUACAGUUCUCCUUUCCUUGCAAUGAGGUUUUUGAAGCAGCUUAGCGGGAUCUACUCCGAUUCUCCUUCCUUAAAUUCACAGGCUCUAGCAAAUGAUUUUAACGUUAAUGACUUAUUAACACGAGACGAUUCCAUCCGGAAGCAAAGGAAAUUGCGGGGGAAAUCACAGAGAUUUUAGAUACCGAAGGGUUAGUCUUGGAAAAGUGGUCGUCGAAUUGUACCCUAAACGAAAGACGAGUCGAAGAGUCGGAAGUCCUUAUUGGAGAAUUGGCCGAUACAAAAACUUUGGGUCUCCUUUGGAGUCCAAAACAGGAUAGUUUAAAUUUAUCGUUCAGAAUAUAUAGCUCAAAGACCGACCCACAAACCGAGCCAUGGUUUUAUUUGCAGCGCGGCUGCUCGAUUCGUUACGAUUCAUUUGCCCUUUCUUUACCCUUCGUUUUUGUACAUGGACUCGACUCAUUGACCAGUUAAUCAGCACUUGGCCCACUGACAGCCAACUCGAAAUAAAGGUUUAUGUCCCAAAUAAUGGGUAUUCUACCUCUUAUCCAUGCCAGAGUUAGUCGAGCCUUUAGGAUAAGCGGUAUUGAUAUCUUCGGUUUAAUUCGGGUGUCGCUAGGAGUCACAGUACUCAGAUGUUUUUCAAUUAAAGUGGUUUACAAGCCAAGCAAGGCGUAUACAAACAAGCAGUACAUCAUCUGGCACCUCUUUGGUCAUUUACCGAUGUUUGGUCAUUUUACCGUUUCUUUUUAUUUAGGAUGUUCGUUGCAAAGCUGCAGGCAGGGGCGUAGCACAGUUGAUAAAUUACAAAAUACUAAAUUAAGAAUAAUAAAAUACUAAGUCUAAUACCAUAAGAAACUUCAAUGUUUCGAUGACGGCUAACAUCGCCGCCCUCGUGUGGACUCAUUGUUUCUUAACCGUCAUCAAUUUGCGGCUUGUUCCAAAAUCACCAAGAUUUAUAUAACAGCGCCCGUAACCCACUGAUAUCUCGGCGUAGAGGAAGCGCACAUCGGCUGCCUUAAUCUCCUCGCUACAAUCUCGUCGGCACCCAAGGGCGGUGCUGUUGCAAACAUCAUUGCUGGAGCCACCGGAGAUUGGUCAGCCCCAAACAUCACAUCCUACAGGGUGCGCACAGCGGCUGCGUUCCUAACCUCCAUAUCGUCACAGGAGAUCAUCAGCGGGAUUCAACCUACCUCCUUGUGGGACACCGAGAAGUUCAUCCCCAAUCAUUAUAUUUUAAAUGGAUGUAUCAAAAAGGCGUUCGAUUUACGAUAACUAUUAAAGGCAAAUAAUAAUGAAUUAGCAUGGA